GAUGAACGCUGGCGGCGUGCCUAAUACAUGCAAGUCGAGCGAACAGAUAAGGAGCUUGCUCCUUUGACGUUAGCGGCGGACGGGUGAGUAACACGUGGGUAACCUACCUAUAAGACUGGAAUAACUCCGGGAAACCGGGGCUAAUGCCGGAUAACAUGUUGAACCGCGUGGUUCUACAGUGAAAGGCGGCUUUGCUGUCACUUAUAGAUGGACCCGCGCCGUAUUAGCUAGUUGGUGAGGUAACGGCUCACCAAGGCAACGAUACGUAGCCGACCUGAGAGGGUGAUCGGCCACACUGGAACUGAGACACGGUCCAGACUCCUACGGGAGGCAGCAGUAGGGAAUCUUCCGCAAUGGGCGAAAGCCUGACGGAGCAACGCCGCGUGAGUGAUGAAGGUCUUCGGAUCGUAAAACUCUGUUAUUAGGGAAGAACAAAUGCGUAAGUAACUGUGCGCGUCUUGACGGUACCUAAUCAGAAAGCCACGGCUAACUACGUG
rnacentral:rRNA from 1 species